AGAGUUUGAUCCUGGCUCAGAUUGAACGCUGGCGGAACGCUUUACACAUGCAAGUCGAACGGUAACGCGGAGAGAAGCUUGCUUCUCUCCGGCGACGAGUGGCGAACGGGUGAGUAAUACAUCGGAACGUGUCCGCUCGUGGGGGACAACCAGCCGAAAGGUUGGCUAAUACCGCAUGAGUUCUACGGAAGAAAGAGGGGGACCCGCAAGGGCCUCUCGCGAGCGGAGCGGCCGAUGACUGAUUAGCCGGUUGGUGAGGUAACGGCUCACCAAAGCAACGAUCAGUAGCUGGUCUGAGAGGACGACCAGCCACACUGGGACUGAGACACGGCCCAGACUCCUACGGGAGGCAGCAGUGGGGAAUUUUGGACAAUGGGCGCAAGCCUGAUCCAGCUAUUCCGCGUGUGGGAUGAAGGCCCUCGGGUUGUAAACCACUUUUGUAGAGAACGAAAAGACACCUUCGAAUAAAGGGUGUUGCUGACGGUACUCUAAGAAUAAGCACCGGCUAACUACGUGCCAGCAGCCGCGGUAAUACGUAGGGUGCGAGCGUUAAUCGGAAUUACUGGGCGUAAAGGGUGCGCAGGCGGUUGAGUAAGACAGAUGUGAAAUCCCCGAGCUUAACUCGGGAAUGGCAUAUGUGACUGCUCGACUAGAGUGUGUCAGAGGGAGGUGGAAUUCCACGUGUAGCAGUGAAAUGCGUAGAUAUCGAGAGGAACACUCGUGGCGAAGGCGGGUUCCUGGACAUUAACUGACGCUGAGGCACGAAGGCCAGGGGAGCGAAAGGGAUUAGAUACCCCUGUAGUCCUGGCAGUAAACGGUGCACGCUUGGUGUGCGGGGAAUCGACCCCCUGCGUGCCGGAGCUAACGCGUUAAGCGUGCCGCCUGGGGAGUACGGUCGCAAGAUUAAAACUCAAAGAAAUUGACGGGGACCCGCACAAGCGGUGGAGUAUGUGGCUUAAUUCGAUGCAACGCGAAGAACCUUACCUGGGCUUGACAUGUAAUGAACAACAUGUGAAAGCAUGCGACUCUUCGGAGG
rnacentral:rRNA from 1 species